UACAGAGGGGGCAAGCGUUGUUCGGAAUUACUGGGCGUAAAGGGCGCGUAGGCGGCCAACUAAGUCGGACGUGAAAUCCCCGGGCUCAACCCGGGAACUGCGUCCGAUACUGGAUGGCUUGAAUCCGGGAGAGGGAUGUGGAAUUCCAGGUGUAGCGGUGAAAUGCGUAGAUAUCUGGAGGAACACCGGUGGCGAAGGCGGCAUCCUGGACCGGUAUUGACGCUGAGGAGCGAAAGCGUGGGGAGCGAACAGG
rnacentral:rRNA from 1 species